rnacentral:rRNA from 1 species
GAUGAACGCUGGCGGCGUGCCUAAUACAUGCAAGUCGAGCGAACGGACGAGAAGCUUGCUUUUCUGAUGUUAGCGGCGGACGGGUGAGUAACACGUGGAUAACCUCCCUAUAAGACUGGGAUAACUUCGGGAAACCGGCGCUAAUACCGGAUAAUAUUUUGAACCGCAUGGUUCAAAAGUGAAAGACGGUCUUGCUGUCACUUAUAGAUGGAUCCGCGCUGCAUUAGCUAGUUGGUAAGGUAACGGCUUACCAAGGCAACGAUGCAUAGCCGACCUGAGAGGGUGAUCGGCCACACGGGAACUGAGACACGGUCAAGACUCCUAAGGGAGGCAGCAGUAGGGAAUCGUCCGCAGUGGGCGAAAGCAUGACGGAGCAACGCCGCGUGAGUGAUGAAGGUCUUCGGAUCGUAAAACUCUGUUAUUAGGGAAGAACAGAUGUGUAAGUAACUGUGCACAUCUUGACGGUACCUAAUCAGAAAGCCACGGCUAACUACGUG